GAUGAACGCUGGCGGCGUGCCUAAUACAUGCAAGUCGAGCGAACAGACGAGGAGCUUGCUCCUCUGACGUUAGCGGCGGACGGGUGAGUAACACGUGGAUAACCUACCUAUAAGACUGGGAUAACUUCGGGAAACCGGAGCUAAUACCGGAUAAUAUAUUGAACCGCAUGGUUCAAUAGUGAAAGACGGUUUUGCUGUCACUUAUAGAUGGAUCCGCGCCGCAUUAGCUAGUUGGUAAGGUAACGGCUUACCAAGGCAACGAUGCGUAGCCGACCUGAGAGAGUGAUCGGCCACACUGGAACUGAGACACGGUCCAGACUCCUACGGGAGGCAGCAGUAGGGAAUCUUCCGCAAUGGGCGAAAGCCUGACGGAGCAACGCCGCGUGAGUGAUGAAGGUCUUCGGAUCGUAAAACUCUGUUAUUAGGGAAGAACAAAUGUGUAAGUAACUAUGCACGUCUUGACGGUACCUAAUCAGAAAGCCACGGCUAACUACGU
rnacentral:rRNA from 1 species